rnacentral:rRNA from 1 species
UACGUAGGCAGCGAGCGUUGUUCGGAAUUACUGGGCGUAAAGAGUGUGUAGGCAGUGUUCUAAGUUUGUCGUGAAAUCUCCCGGCUUAACUGGGAGGGUGCGGCGAAAACUGGAAUGCUAGAGGAUGGGAGAGGUAAGCGGAAUUCCUGGUGUAGCGGUGAAAUGCGUAGAUAUCAGGAGGAACACCUGUGGUGUAGACAGCUUACUGGACCAUUUCUGACGCUGAGACACGAAAGCGUGGGUAGCAAACAGG